GCAUCGGUCGGGGAUUUGGACGAUUCAGAUGCAGAGAAGAGAAGGAGCGACGACGCGCUACCCCGGCGUGCGGCGUCGCAGCGACGGCAAGUACCAUGUUCGGUUUCGGAUCACCGAUCCGAAGACCGGGAGAACGAAGGACAUCGAGCGCGUGCUCGACAACUGCGCGGACGUCGUGGAGGCGAACCGUCGCAGGGACGAGCUACGUCGCGAGAUGGAGUGCGUAGAGCAGGCGGCGCGCACACGCCUGGCCGACUUCGCCGAGCGCUGGC
rnacentral:misc_RNA from 1 species